rnacentral:rRNA from 1 species
AUUGAACGCUGGCGGCAGGCCUAACACAUGCAAGUCGAGCGGAUGAAGGGAGCUUGCUCCUGGAUUCAGCGGCGGACGGGUGAGUAAUGCCUAGGAAUCUGCCUGGUAGUGGGGGAUAACGUCCGGAAACGGGCGCUAAUACCGCAUACGUCCUGAGGGAGAAAGUGGGGGAUCUUCGGACCUCACGCUAUCAGAUGAGCCUAGGUCGGAUUAGCUAGUUGGUGGGGUAAAGGCCUACCAAGGCGACGAUCCGUAACUGGUCUGAGGGGAUGAUCAGUCACACUGGAACUGAGACGCGGUCCAGACUCCUACGGGAGGCAGCAGUGGGGAAUAUUGGACAAUGGGCGAAAGCCUGAUCCAGCCAUGCCGCGUGUGUGAAGAAGGUCUUCGGAUUGUAAAGCACUUUAAGUUGGGAGGAAGGGCAGUAAGUUAAUACCUUGCUGUUUUGACGUUACCAACAGAAUAAGCACCGGCUAACUUCGUG